AUGGAAAUUCAAUCAGGAAAUGGACCCGAGGUGUCGAAAGAAGGAGGGUGCGCUCAUUCGUCUCCUCUCGCCCUGCGGCCUGCGAACGCUAAAGAGGACCUGGAGGAGAACAGGCACAUUGAGAAGUUUGACAUCCCACUCAGCAGCCUGAAGCAAAUGUUUGAGAAACCGCCGGCGCAACAUGUGGAAGUGAGUGGUUCAUAUUCGUCUAGUGGGAGAGUAGCAGACAAAUAUAGUGGUGUAGGAGAAAAAAUGUCGAAUCAGGAAUCAAACUUUGGUGGAUGUGACAUGAUUAAAGACUUCACGCUUUGCUGUCUAGCAUGA
rnacentral:lncRNA from 1 species